rnacentral:miRNA from 14 species
CAAUGGCAAUUUAUUUUCUCACAGAACUUGACUUUGGAAGGCCAAGAUCAAGGUGCUGCCAGGUUUGGAUUCUUCUGAUGGAUCCUACUUUGUUUGCAGAGAGAUGCUGCUUUGUUUUCAGAUGGCCAGCUU